rnacentral:lncRNA from 1 species
GCCAGAGACGGAGAAACGGCGGAAGAAGAUUUUGGUGCCAUUGAUCCCGACGGUGAAGAACCCGGAGCAGAGGACGGAGGUGAUGGAGGAGAAGUCAUCGGAGAAACAGGGGAAGAAGACUCAGGUGACAUAGAUCCCGGCGGAGAAGCCAUCGGAGCAGAGGACGGAGAAACAGGGGAUGAGGACUUAGGUGACAUGGAUCCCGGCGGAGAAGUCACCGGAGCAGAGGACGGAGAAACGGGGGAGGAUGAUUUAGGUGGCAUAGGCGCCGGUGGAGAAGUAGCCGGAGAAACAGGGGAAGAAGAAGACUUAGGUGGCAUUGAUCCUGGCGGAGAGUUUCCCGGCGUGGAGGCUUGAGGAGGCGGA